UACGAAGGGGGCUAGCGUUGUUCGGAAUUACUGGGCGUAAAGCGUGCGCAGGCGGCUUUCCAAGUCAGUGGUGAAAGCCCGGAGCUCAACUCCGGAAAUGCCAUUGAAACUGUGAAGCUUGAGAACGAGAGAGGUGAGUGGAAUUCCCAGUGUAGAGGUGAAAUUCGUAGAUAUUGGGAGGAACACCAGUGGCGAAGGCGGCUCACUGGCUCGUAACUGACGCUCAUGCACGACAGCGUGGGGAUCAAACAGG
rnacentral:rRNA from 1 species